CUUGGUCAUUUAGAGGAAGUAAAAGUCGUAACAAGGUUCCGUAGGUGAACCUGCGGAAGGAUCAUUAAUGUAACCGGACCGGUCCUUGCCGUAAAACGCACCGGAUUGGAAAGGGAGAUAUCAUACACCCUGUGUUAUUUACCUUUGUUGCUUUGGCGGGCCGUCCUUUAGGCGUCGGCCCCGGUGAUCGCGCCCGCCAGAGGACCCAAACUCUUUUAUCAGUGAUGUCUGAGACUACAUAAUAGUUAAAACUUUCAACAACGGAUCUCUUGGUUCUGGCAUGAUGAAGAACGCAGCGAAAUGCGAUAAGUAAUGUGAAUUGCAGAAUUCAUGAAUCAUCGAAUCUUUGAACGCACAUUGCGCCCGCUGGUAUUCCGGCGGCAUGCCUGUUCGAGCGUCAUUAUGACCAAUCAAGCUCUGCUUGGCCUUGGGCCCGCUGUACCGGCGGCCCUUAAAAUUAGUGGCGGUGCCGUCUGGCCUAAGCGUAGUAAUACUUCUCGCUAUAGGGUCCAGUCGUUUACCCGCCAAACCCCCAACUUUCUUAGGUUGACCUCGGAUCAGGUAGGGAUACCCGCUAACUUAAGCAUAUCAAUAAGCGGAGG
rnacentral:rRNA from 1 species